CCCCCCCCCCCAACCAAACCCCCGGCCCAAAACCCCCCAGGGAUUCAAAAACAAAAAGAUAGGGAACGGGCGGCCCGUCGAGUGCCGGAGACGGAUCUCUCGCGGGCGGCCCCUUCUCGUUCGGAAACAAAACGACUCUCGGCAACGGAUAUCUCGGCUCUCGCAUCGAUGAAGAACGUAGCGAAAUGCGAUACUUGGUGUGAAUUGCAGAAUCCCGUGAACCAUCGAGUCUUUGAACGCAAGUUGCGCCCGAAGCCUUCGGGCCGAGGGCACGCCUGCCUGGGUGUCAUGCAUCGUCGCCCACCCCCUUUUUCGGGACGGGCGGAAAAGGGUCUCCCGUGCGCUCCCGUUCGCGGUGGGCCAAAUUACAAGUUGUUGGCGGCCGAUACCGCCCCG
rnacentral:rRNA from 1 species